AUGAACGCUAGCGAUAGGCUUAACACAUGCAAGUCGAGGGGCAGCAUGGUCUUAGCUUGCUAAGACUGAUGGCGACCGGCGCACGGGUGCGUAACGCGUAUGCAACUUGCCUCACAGAGGGGGAUAACCCGUCUAAAGACGGACUAAUACCGCGUACACUUGGGAUAGGGCAUCCUGACCCAAGGAAAUGAAAUUCGCUGUGAGAUAGGCAUGCGUCCCAUUAGCUAGUUGGUGAGGUAACGGCUCACCAAGGCGACGAUGGGUAGGGGAACUGAGAGGUUGAACCCCCACACUGGUACUGAGACACGGACCAGACUCCUACGGGAGGCAGCAGUGAGGAAUAUUGGUCAAUGGGCGAGAGCCUGAACCAGCCAAGUCGCGUGAAGGAUGACUGUCUUAUGGAUUGUAAACUUCUUUUAUACGGGAAUAACAAGAGCCACGUGUGGCUCCCUGCAUGUACCGUAUGAAUAAGCAUCGGCUAACUCCGUG
rnacentral:rRNA from 1 species